UACGUAGGGUGCAAGCGUUAAUCGGAAUUACUGGGCGUAAAGCGUGCGCAGGCGGUUUUGUAAGUUUGUCGUGAAAGCCCCGGGCUCAACCUGGGAAUUGCGAUGAAGACGUGCAAGGCUUUGAAUCGUGGCAGAGGGGGGGUAGAAAUUCCACGUGUAGCAGUGAAAUGCGUAGAGAUGUGGAGGAACACCGAUGGCGAAGGCAGCCCCCUGGGUCAAGAUUGACGCUCGAUGCACGAAAAGCGUGGGGGAGCAAACAGG
rnacentral:rRNA from 1 species